rnacentral:rRNA from 1 species
AUGACUACCUGCUUCUCUGACAUUAUCAAAGAUCAUUCCCUUGAUUUCAUAGGAUUACAGGAAACCAAAAAGAAAGAGAUUCCUCCUAAAUUCUUACGCAAGAUUGAUCCUUAUGAUAGAUUUGCUUGGAACUGGGUACCUUCUAUUGGCAAAUCCGGUGGCAUCCUUUGUGGUAUCAAAAGAGAAACUCUGGAAGUUGUUUCCUGGACAGUGGGCAGAUUUUGCUUGCAAGCAAUCCUUUUUGAUAUAAACCUGAAAUGUGUGUGGGCCCUUAUAGUUGUAUAUGGUGCGGCACAGGAUGAUAAGAAAGAAGACUUCCUUUGUGAACUUGCAUCCAUGUGUUCCCAUCUCCAGGUCCCUUAUAUUGUGGGAGGGGAUUUCAAUAUUCUUCGUGAAAGCUGUGAGAAAAAUAAGAAUUUAAAUCGGUCCCCUUACAUGGAUAAAUUCAAUUCCAUCAUCCAAUCUCUGAACCUGUGUGAGAUACAUAUGAGAGGGGGCAAAUACACCUGGUCCAACCACCAGAGACAUCCUACCUUAGAAAAGCUCGAUAGAGUUCUUAUGAGUUUUGAAUGGGAGGACCUAUUUCCCCUGGUCACUGUCCGGAAGCUAGUACGGGACGUGUCAGACCAUAAUCCUCUCCUACUGUCAUCUGACUCAACUGUAACAAGACCCACUCGACAACGUGAGUUUAGAUUGUUAGAGAUGUGUCAAAUAUGGUGUACAAGGUAG